GUCUCCAACUACAGCCGCCAACCCACUUCGGCACUCCGCCUACCACGCUCCCCCUUCUCUCUCUCUACAAUCCAAUCUCACACACACUCUCUCCUCUCUUUCUCACCAACGCCAAGUGGUUCCUCACCAACGCCCCCGACGGCGAGAUCCAGUACGUCGCCAAAGUAGGUUGUUUGAUUGCUGAUGGCGUCGAAGAGGAUUUUGAAGGAGUUGAAGGACUUGCAGAAGGAUCCUCCAACCUCAUGCAGUGCAGGACAUGCACGCUGCUAUUGGAGCUUCAUUAAACUCAAAUUUAGCUUAAUUAUGACCCAAGCUACAUCAUUGGGACCUAAGGAGAAAGAGGAGUCCUAAUUGAAGGUCAGUCAAAUCAAAUUGACAUCCUGCAUACUCAUUUGUUUGAGUUAGUGCUCAGGGAAGCUUUCGUUUGAAUUCUGCUGUAUGUUUCUAUUGUUUUUGUAAUAAUACAAAUGUAGAGGUCAUUUUUUAAAAGACGUCCUGAAAACCCCAUCCAUAUGACUGGUUGUCAUAACAGUCUGAUAUGAAGUCCACACUUGCCUUAGACACACAUUCUACGAUGCCAAAUUUUGUUUUUCUCAUUUCGUUAGACCCUGCUUGAGAUAUUCAAUAAUACCCUUUUUAGUAGCCAUAAGUAAUUAACUAGAACCCCACAAUAAUAAAUGACACAAAUUACAAACUAGCAAACUUGUGGGGCCCUAGGAAAGCAUGUGCACCCAAUAAUGGCAGUUGCGUGCCACUUAGAGAAACCGUUAACGACAAUAUAUUUUUGGAAUGAGAGGAAUUGCCAUAAAGCAAUCUAUACAUUAGAGUUUGCACUAAAAAGAAGAAAAAUCAUCUCUCCUACAUUCCAUAUCCAUAUAACCAUACUUGAGCGUGUAAGAGACUCCCCGAGUUGUGAGAGUUUGUUUCCUUCCUUCCAAUAAUGGAUUCCCAAAGAUGAAUUAAGAGUCUUCAUGUAUUGCCAGCCAAGUAGAAAUAAUCUUUGAAAAAUUGAACAAAGCUUCAAAUAUAUA